rnacentral:rRNA from 1 species
GGGAGCGAACAGGAUUAGAUACCCUGGUAGUCCACGCCGUAAACGAUGAUCACUCGCUGUUGGCGAUACACAGUCAGCGGCUAAGCAGAAGCAUUAAGUGAUCCACCUGGGGAGUAGGGCCGCAAGGGCUGAAACUCAAAGGAAUUGACGGGGGGCCCGCACAAGCGGAGGAACAGUGGUUUAAUUCGAUGAUACGCGAGGAACCUUACCUGGGCUUAAAUGUAGAGUGCAUGAGGUAGAAAUACUUUUUCCCUUCGGGGCUCUUUGCAAGUGCUGCAUGGUGUCGUCAGCUCGUGCCGUGAGGGUCGGGUUAAGUCCCAUAAGAGCGCAACCCUUAUCGUUAGUGCCAGCGGGUCAUGCCGGGAACUCUAACGAAACUGCCGUGUAAACCGUGAGGAAGGUGGGAUGAGUCAAAUCAGCACGGCCCUUAUGUCCAGGCUACACACGUGUUACAAUGGCCGGUACAGAGGGCAGCUACCUGGAGACAGGAUGCGAAUCUCGAAAGCCGGUCUCAGUUCGGAUCGGAGUCUGCAACUCGACUCCGUGAAGCUGGAUUCGCUAGUAAUCGCGCAUCAGCCAUGGCGCGGUGAAUACGUUCCCGGGCCUUGUACACACCGCCCGUCAAGCCAUGGAAGUUGGGGGUACCUGAAGUCCGUAACCGUAAGGAGCGGCCUAGGGUAAAACUAGUGACUGGGGCUAAGUCGUAACAAGGUA